rnacentral:rRNA from 1 species
GAUGAACGCUGGCGGCGUGCCUAAUACAUGCAAGUCGAGCGAACAGACGAUGAGCUUGCUCCUCUGACGUGAGCCGCGGACGUGUGAGUAACACGUGUAUAACCUACCUAUAAUACGGGUAUAACUUCGGGAAACCGGAUCUAAUAGCGUAUAAUAUAUUGAACCGCAUGGUUCAUUAGUGAAAGACGGUUGUGCUGGCACUUAUCGCGGGAUCCGCGCCGCAUUAGCUAGUUGUUGAGUUAACGGCUUACCAAGGCAACGAUGCGUAACCGAGCUGAGAGGGUGAUAGGCCACCCUGGAACUGAGCCACGGUCCAGACUCCUAAGGGAGGCAGCAGUAGGGAAUCUUACGCAAUAGGCGAAAGUCUGACGGAGCAACGGCGAGUGAGUGAUGACGGUCUUCGGAUCGUAAAACCCUGUUAUUAGGGAAGAACAACUGUGUAAGUAACUAUGGACGUAUUGACGGUACCUAAUCAGAAAGCAACGGCUAACUACGUG